AACGAACGCUGGCGGCAGGCCUAACACAUGCAAGUCGAGCGCGCCUUCGGGUGAGCGGCGGACGGGUGAGUAACGCGUGGGAAUAUGCCCUUCUCUACGGAAUAGUCCUGGGAAACUGGGGGUAAUACCGUAUACGCCCUUUGGGGGAAAGAUUUAUCGGGGAAGGAUUAGCCCGCGUUGGAUUAGGUAGUUGGUGGGGUAAUGGCCUACCAAGCCGACGAUCCAUAGCUGGUUUGAGAGGAUGAUCAGCCACACUGGGACUGAGACACGGCCCAGACUCCUACGGGAGGCAGCAGUGGGGAAUCUUAGACAAUGGGGGCAACCCUGAUCUAGCCAUGCCGCGUGAGUGAUGAAGGCCUUAGGGUUGUAAAGCUCUUUCAGCUGGGAAGAUAAUGACGGUACCAGCAGAAGAAACCCCGGCUAACUCCGU
rnacentral:rRNA from 1 species